rnacentral:rRNA from 1 species
UACGGGGGGGGCAAGCGUUGUUCGGAAUUACUGGGCGUAAAGGGUUCGUAGGCGGCCAACUAAGUCGGAUGUGAAAUCCCCAGGCUUAACCUGGGAACUGCAUCCGAUACUGGAUGGCUUGAAUCCGGGAGAGGGAUGCGGAAUUCCAGGUGUAGCGGUGAAAUGCGUAGAUAUCUGGAGGAACACCGGUGGCGAAGGCGGCAUCCUGGACCGGCAUUGACGCUGAGGAGCGAAAGCCAGGGGAGCAAACGGG